GGCGAACGCUGGCGGCGUGCCUAAUACAUGCAAGUAGAACGCUGAAGGAGGAGCUUGCUUCUCUGGAUGAGUUGCGAACGGGUGAGUAACGCGUAGGUAACCUGCCUUGUAGCGUGGGAUAACUAUUGGAAACGAUAGCUAAUACCGCAUAAUAGCAGUUAUUGCAUGAUAACUGUUUGAAAGGUUCAAUUUCCCCACUACCAGAUGGACCUGCGUUGUAUUAGCUAGUUGGUGGGGUAAUGGCUCACCAAGGCGACGAUACAUAGCCGACCUGAGAGGGUGAUCGGCAAAACUGGGAAUGAGAAACGGCACAGAAUACUAAGGGAGGCAGCAGUAGGGAAUCUUCGGCAAUGGACGGAAGUCUGACCGAGCAACGCCGCGUGAGUGAAGAAGGUUUUCGGAUCGUAAAGCUCGGUUGUAAGAGAAGAACGAGUGUGAGAGUGGAAAGUUCACACUGUGACGGUAUCUUACCAGAAAGGGACGGCUAACUACGUG
rnacentral:rRNA from 1 species